rnacentral:rRNA from 1 species
GCGGGCCCUACAAAUUGCAAGUUCGAACGGUAGCACAGAGAGCUUGCUCUCGGGUGACGAGUGGCGGACGGGUGAGUAAUGUCUGGGAAACUGCCUGAUGGAGGGGGAUAACUACUGGAAACGGUAGCUAAUACCGCAUAACGUCGCAAGACCAAAGUGGGGGACCUUCGGGCCUCUUGCCAUCGGAUGUGCCCAGAUGGGAUUAGCUUGUAGGUGAGGUAACGGCUCACCUAGGCGACGAUCCCUAGCUGGUCUGAGAGGAUGACCAGCCACACUGGAACUGAUACACGGUCCAGACUCCUACGGGAGGCAGC